GGGCCAAAGAGGGGGACCUUCGGGCCUCUCGCGUCAGGAUAUGCCUAGGUGGGAUUAGCUAGUUGGUGAGGUAAGGGCUCACCAAGGCGACGAUCCCUAGCUGGUCUGAGAGGAUGAUCAGCCACACUGGAACUGAGACACGGUCCAGACUCCUACGGGAGGCAGCAGUGGGGAAUAUUGCACAAUGGGCGCAAGCCUGAUGCAGCCAUGCCGCGUGUGUGAAGAAGGCCUUCGGGUUGUAAAGCACUUUCAGUCGUGAGGAAGGUAGUGUAGUUAAUAGCUGCAUUAUUUGACGUUAGCGACAGAAGAAGCACCGGCUAACUCCGUGCCAGCAGCCGCGGUAAUACGGAGGGUGCGAGCGUUAAUCGGAAUUACUGGGCGUAAAGCGCAUGCAGGUGGUUUGUUAAGUCAGAUGUGAAAGCCCGGGGCUCAACCUCGGAAUUGCAUUUGAAACUGGCAGACUAGAGUACUGUAGAGGGGGGUAGAAUUUCAGGUGUAGCGGUGAAAUGCGUAGAGAUCUGAAGGAAUACCGGUGGCGAAGGCGGCCCCCUGGACAGAUACUGACACUCAGAUGCGAAAGCGUGGGGAGCAAACAGGAUUAGAUACCCUGGUAGUCCACGCCGUAAACGAUGUCUACUUGGAGGUUGUGGCCUUGAGCCGUGGCUUUCGGAGCUAACGCGUUAAGUAGACCGCCUGGGGAGUACGGUCGCAAGAUUAAAACUCAAAUGAAUUGACGGGGGCCCGCACAAGCGGUGGAGCAUGUGGUUUAAUUCGAUGCAACGCGAAGAACCUUACCUACUCUUGACAUCCAGAGAACUUUCCAGAGAUGGAUUGGUGCCUUCGGGAACUCUGAGACAGGUGCUGCAUGGCUGUCGUCAGCUCGUGUUGUGAAAUGUUGGGUUAAGUCCCGCAACGAGCGCAACCCUUAUCCUUGUUUGCCAGCGAGUAAUGUCGGGAACUCCAGGGAGACUGCCGGUGAUAAACCGGAGGAAGGUGGGGACGACGUCAAGUCAUCAUGGCCCUUACGAGUAGGGCUACACACGUGCUACAAUGGCGCAUACAGAGGGCGGCCAACUUGCGAAAGUGAGCGAAUCCCAAAAAGUGCGUCGUAGUCCGGAUUGGAGUCUGCAACUCGACUCCAUGAAGUCGGAAUCGCUAGUAAUCGUGGAUCAGAAUGCCACGGUGAAUACGUUCCCGGGCCUUGUACACACCGCCCGUCACACCAUGGGAGUGGGCUGCAAAAGAAGUAGGUAGUUUAACCUUCGGGGGGACGCUUACCACUUUGUGGUUCAUGACUGGGGUGAAGUCGUAACAAGGUAGCGCUAGGGGAACCUGGCGCUGGAUCACCUCCUUAAACGAUGAU
rnacentral:rRNA from 1 species